rnacentral:misc_RNA from 1 species
GGUUAAUGAGCGCUUUUUCAUUGCGGCAACGAACAGAUAUCGGUGUGAUUGGAUCUGCUGCGGCAGCGUUUUUCAGAUGCGAUUGCGUCGCGCUCUCCGAACACACAUCGCAUCGGUCAGAUGGGAUAAUUUUCCGCGCAAUCGGCGGCUGUAAAAACUAACAUCAAAACAACCGAAAAUUGUCGGGAACAAAUGUUAUCUCAGUUCGGCCGAGUUUUUGACU